rnacentral:rRNA from 1 species
UGGGGAAUCUUCCGCAAUGGACGAAAGUCUGACGGAGCAACGCCGCGUGAGUGAUGACGGCCUUCGGGUUGUAAAGCUCUGUUAAUCGGGACGAAUGGUUCUUGUGCAAAUAGUGCGAGGAUUUGACGGUACCGGAAUAGAAAGCCACGGCUAACUACGUGCCAGCAGCCGCGUUAAUACGUAGGUGGCAAGCGUUGUCCGGAAUUAUUGGGCGUAAAGCGCGCGCAGGCGGAUUGGUCAGUCUGUCUUAAAAGUUCGGGGCUUAACCCCGUGAUGGGAUGGAAACUGCCAAUCUAGAGUAUCGGAGAGGAAAGUGGAAUUCCUAGUGUAGCGGUGAAAUGCGUAGAUAUUAGGAAGAACACCAGUGGCGAAGGCGACUUUCUGGACGAAAACUGACGCUGAGGCGCGAAAGCCAGGGGAGCGAACGGG